CAGGUCAGCUCCAGUUCAUAGCACACAUUACCAGUCUCAGAUCCAAAAGAUGUUCUCUGGGAAGGCAGAGAAAUAAUGAAAGAUGUGCAUUGUCUACCCACCAAGCUCAUGAAGAACCUGUAAAAAAUUAAUGCAGCCUGAGGUUUCAAUAGCUUUCCUGAACAUGCCCCCCACCCCAUGCUCAGGACCUGGAAAUACACCACAGAUGAUGCCCCAGGGCAUCUGUCUGCAGCUGCUGUCAAGUCCUCUAUGCGUCUGAAAGAAACUGCUGGGAAGGACCCCAGCACGACCUCACCAACACAACUUCUGGUUAGGAAAGUGCUAGACAGCAGGCUGGCAGGACCUGUUUGAGAACAGCCAGGCCAGGACAUGCUGCUGCCACAGCAUAAACAAGCCUUCUCUCCAAAAGCAAAGGGAUUCUUGAAAUGUAAUAAGAACGUUUCUUUCAGCUCCUAAUCAUGCACUUGAAUUAAAAGAGUAAAAACAACCAGAAAACAAAGGGCUUUAUAGGGCCUACAUAAAAAUCACUUCAUAUCUCAGUCCAUCAAGUGUCACUUACAUGGUAUCUCAUCAUCAUCACAAAUUCAGUAGUUUUCUUGUUUACUGUGAAGUCUUCUAGGAAAAAGCAGGGAAAACAAAUCCUGAAUUUCUAACAUAAAAAGCAAAGAGAGAAAAACGUUGAAUUCAGGUUUUCUUAUAGCAUAACCAAAGCAAAGAACCAAGCCAUCCCUUCCCUAAGGAAUGCUAGGAAAGUAUGAAUCCACUUUGUCCUCCAGUUAAAUCCUUCAGUCUCCAAAGUUAAUUGAACAGCUCUUAGGGACAGAGAUAAUAUUAGCACCAACCUUACAUUGCAAACUGCUGCUCACAGAGCUGUAACAGCAGUUUCACUUUUGUCAUUGAUAUUGGGAUCCUAAAGCUUAAUUGUGACAGAAGAAAAGUCAUCAAAAAGUUGUCA